GUAGGUAUAGCUCAGGGGUAGAGCACGUGCUUAGCACGUAUGAGGUGCUGGGUUCGAUUCCCAGUGCCUCCG
rnacentral:tRNA from 1 species